rnacentral:rRNA from 1 species
ACGCUCGACACCUACGGGGGCAGCAGUGGGGAAUAUUGCACAAUGGGGGAAACCCCGAUGCAGCGACGCCGCGUGGAGGAAGAAGGUCUUCGGAUUGUAAACUCCUGUUGUUGGGGAAAAAGAGGAUGGUACCCAACAAGGAAGUGACGGCUAACUACGUCGCACAGACCGCCGGUAAGUACUGAGCGGGCGGUCGGCGAACGGACG